UUUGUAUUUCGGCAGUGGAGUGACAACUCACUGGAUCUGCAGAGCCUUUCGAACUUGUAUUCAUUUUUCUUUAUUUAAAAUGUCACUUGCUAACACAACUAUUAUUUUUUAAUAAACAAUAAACCCAUUAGCAGCGUUUCACUAAACAGUUAACUGUGAAGAAAUGACUUGAAAGAAUUGAAACUUCUAUUCCAAAAUAUCAUACCUCAGCUCUUUUUACUCCAGUAAUAAUAUUUUGGCUCAAAAUGUGUUAUUUCCCUGUUCAACUGUCCAGG